rnacentral:rRNA from 3 species
UACGGAGGAUGCGAGCGUUAUCCGGAUUUAUUGGGUUUAAAGGGAGCGCAGACGGGAGAUUAAGUCAGUUGUGAAAGUUUGCGGCUCAACCGUAAAAUUGCAGUUGAUACUGGUUUCCUUGAGUGCAGUUGAGGCAGGCGGAAUUCGUGGUGUAGCGGUGAAAUGCUUAGAUAUCACGAAGAACCCCGAUUGCGAAGGCAGCUUGCUAAACUGUAACUGACGUUCAUGCUCGAAAGUGUGGGUAUCAAACAGG